rnacentral:rRNA from 1 species
UGUCUUUUUGAAGAUAAUUUAAAGUCUAAUCUGCCCACUGAUUUAAUAUUAAAGGGCUGCAGUAUAUUGACUGUACAAAGGUAGCAUAAUCAUUAGUCAUUUAAUUGAUGACUUGUAUGAAAGAUUGGAUGAAAUAUAAUCUGUCUCUUAAUUAUUUAUAAAAUUUAAUUUUUUAAUUAAAAAGUUAGAAUAAUUUAAAAAGACGAGAAGACCCUAUAGAGUUUUAUAUAUGAGUUUAUUAAGAUUAUUUAUAAAAAAAAAUUAAAAUUAACUUAUAUAUUUUAUUGGGGUGAUAGAAAAAUAUACAAAACUUUUUUUUAUAUAAAAACAUUUAUAAGUGAUUAAAUGAUCCAAUAAUAUUGAUUAAAAGAAAAAAUUACCUUAGGGAUAACAGCGUAAUUUUUUUUUUUAGUUCAUAUAAGAAAAAGAGUUUGCGACCUCGAUGUUGGAUUAAGAUAAAAUUUAAAUGCAGAAG